GCACAUGUCCUAGCAACAGUGGGGUGCUAAAAGUGUGUGAAACAUGUUCUCGUGAUGCGUAUGAUAGUUUAUACAUUUCAACAACAAGAAAAGAGAGAAAAGUGACAAAAUGUCUAGAGAUUCCAUAGAAUUCUCCAAAAACUUCCGCAAGUUACGGAAUUUCCGGAAAAAUGUCUAAAAUCUCCGUACAUUCUACUGUACUCAAAUAACAAUCGUCACAAAAAAUUUUCACACUAACACAAAGCAUCCUUAGAUAAGUAAAAGUACUCCUAAAGCGUCCAUAGCACCCAUUAUAAGUUCUCAUGCUCACAUAGUCUUACACACCAUAGAAGAUUAAAAGACAUAGUUCGAUACAAGAGAUACAUAAAACCAGUUUCACUCCCCUUUGGCAUCAAGCACCAAAAAUGAAAUGAAACUUAACACAACAACAGCUACUCAUCGUCAUCAUCGGUGUCCUCAACCUCCUCUUCUUCUUCCUCUUCUUCUCC
rnacentral:lncRNA from 1 species